rnacentral:rRNA from 1 species
UUGAACGCUGGCGGCAGGCCUAACCCAUGCAAGUCGAGCGGAUGAAGGGAGCUUGCUCCUGGCUUCAGCGGCGGACGGGUGAGUAAUGCCUAGGAAUCUGCCUGGUAGUGGGGGAUAACGUCCGGAAACGGGCGCUAAUACCGCAUACGUCCUGAGGGAGAAAGUGGGGGAUCUUCGGACCUCACGCUAUCAGAUGAGCCUAGGUCGGAUUAUCUAGUUGGUGGGGUAAAGGCCUACCAAGGCGACGAUCCGUAACUGGUCUGAGAGGAUGAUCAGUCACACUGGAACUGAGACACGGUCCAGACUCCUACGGGAGGCAGCAGUGGGGAAUAUUGGAAAAUGGGCGAAAGCCUGAUCCAGCGAUGCCGCGUGUGUGAAGAAGGUCUUCGGAUUGUAAAGCACUUUAAGUUGGGAGGAAGGGCAGUAAGUUAAUACCUUGCUGUUUUGACGUUACCAACAGAAUAAGCACCGGCUAACUUCGUG